CAACUUUAAACGGUGGAUCU
rnacentral:rRNA from 1 species